CCUACGGGGUGCACCAGUGGGGAAUAUUGCACAAUGGGCGCAAGCCUGAUGCAGCCAUGCCGCGUGUAUGAAGAAGGCCUUAGGGUUGUAAAGUACUUUCAGUUGGGAGGAAGGCGUUGAUGCUAAUAUCAUCAGCGAUUGACGUUACCAACAGAAGAAGCACCGGCUAACUCCGUGCCAGCAGCCGCGGUAAUACGGAGGGUGCAAGCGUUAAUCGGAAUUACUGGGCGUAAAGCGCACGCAGGAGGUUGAUUAAGUUAGAUGUGAAAUCCCCGGGCUUAACCUGGGAAUGGCAUCUAAGACUGGUCAGCUAGAGUCUUGUAGAGGGGGGUAGAAUUCCAUGUGUAGCGGUGGAAUGCGUAGAGAUGUGGAGGAAUACCGGUGGCGAAGGCAGCCCCCUGGACAAAGACUGACGCUCAGGUGCGAAAGCGUGGGGAGCAAACAGGAUUAGAUACCCC
rnacentral:rRNA from 1 species